rnacentral:rRNA from 1 species
UUUUCAGUGUAGCAGCGAAAGCGAUAAACACACCGCCUGGGGAGUACGACCGCAAGGUUAAAACUCAAAUGAAUUGACGGGGACCCGCACAAGUAGUGGAGCAUGUGGUUUAAUUCGAAGAUACGCGCAGAACCUUACCAACACUUGACAUGUUCGUCGCGACUCUAAGAGAUUAGAGUUUUCGGUUCGGCCGGACGAAACACAGGUGCUGCAUGGCUGUCGUCAGCUCGUGUCGUGAGAUGUUGGGUUAAGUCCCGCAACGAGCGCAACCCUCACUUUUAGUUGCCAUCAUUAAGUUGGGCACUCUGAAAGAACUGCCAGUGAUAAGCUGGAGGAAGGUGGGGAUGACGUCAAGUCCUCAUGGCCCUUACGUGUUGGGCUACACACGUGCUACAAUGGCAUCUACAACAGGAAGCAAAACGGCAACGUUAAGCAAAUCCCGAAAAGAUGCCUCAGUUCGGAUUGCACUCUGCAACUCGAGUGCAUGAAGCUGGAAUUACUAGUAAUCGUGGAUCAGCGUGCCACGGUGAAUGCGUUCCCGGGUCUUGUACACACCGCCCGUCACACCAUGGGAGUUGGUUCUACCUUAAGGCAAGGUUUCAAACCCUUGACCACGGUAUAGUCAGCGACUGGGGUGAAGUCGUAACAAGGUAGCCGUAGGGGAACCUGCGGCUGGAUUACCUCCUU